UACGGAGGAGGCAAGCGUUAUCCGGAAUUAUUGGCGUAAAGCGUCCGCAGGUGGCACUUCAAGUCUGUCGUCAAAGACUGGGGCUUAACCCUGGAAAGGCGGUGGAAACUGAAGCGCUAGAGUGCGGUAGGGGUAGAGGGAAUUCCCGGUGUAGCGGUGAAAUGCGUAGAGAUCGGGAAGAACAUCGGUGGCGAAAGCGCUCUACUGGACCGCAACUGACACUCAGGGACGAAAGCUAGGGGAGCGAAUGGG
rnacentral:rRNA from 1 species